AUUGAACGCUGGCGGCAGGCCUCACAAAUGCAAGUCGAGCGAGCGGCGGACGGGUGGGUAAAGUAUGGGGACUGACCGCUAGAGGGGGAGAACUACUGGAAACGGUGGCUACUACCGCAUACUGUCGGAUAACCACUCUGGGAUUAGCUAGUAGGUAAGGUAAUGGCUUACCUAGGCGACGAUACCUAGCUGGUCUGAGAGGAUGAUCAGCCACAUUGGUACUGUGAAACGGCCCCGACGCCUACGGAGGCAGCAUGGGGGAAUAUUGCACAAUGGGCGCAAGCCGGAUGCAGCCAUGCCGCGUGGAUGAAGAAGGCCCUAGGGUUGUAAAGUACUUUCAGUCGGGAGGCGUUACCGACAGAAGAAGCACCGGCUAACUCCGUGCCAGCAGCCGCGGUAAUUC
rnacentral:rRNA from 1 species